rnacentral:rRNA from 1 species
AGAGUUUGAUCCUGGCUCAGGAUGAACGCUAGCUACAGGCUUAACACAUGCAAGUCGAGGGGCAGCAUAAUGUCUAGCAAUAGAUGUUGAUGGCGACCGGCGCACGGGUGAGUAACACGUAUCCAACCUGGCCCAUACUAGGGAAUAGCCUGCCGAAAGGCAGAUUAAUGCCCUAUGUUGUGUAUUGAUGGCAUCAGAUUUGCACCAAAGAUUUAUCGGUAUGGGAUGGGGAUGCGUCCGAUUAGCUUGACGGCGGGGUAACGGCCCACCGUGGCUACGAUCGGUAGGGGUUCUGAGAGGAAGGUCCCCCACACUGGAACUGAGACACGGUCCAGACUCCUACGGGAGGCAGCAGUGAGGAAUAUUGGUCAAUGGGCGUAAGCCUGAACCAGCCAAGUAGCGUGAGGGAUGACUGCCCUAUGGGUUGUAAACCUCUUUUAUAAGGGAAUAACUGACGAUACGUGUAUUGUUUUGCAUGUACCUUAUGAAUAAUGACCGGCUAAUUCCGUGCCAGCAGCCGCGGUAAUACGGAAGGUCAGGGCGUUAUCCGGAUUUAUUGGGUUUAAAGGGAGCGUAGGCGGUUGGUUAAGCGUGUUGUGAAAUGUCCCGGCCCAACCGGGGAUGUGCAACGCGAACUGGCUGACUUGAGUGCGUACGAGGUAUGCGGAAUUCGUCGUGUAGCGGUGAAAUGCUUAGAUAUGACGAAGAACUCCGAUUGCGAAGGCAGCAUGCCAGGCCGCUACUGACGCUGAAGCUCGAAGGUGCGGGUAUCGAAGAGGAUUAGAUACCCUGGUAGUCCGCACGGUAAACAAUGGAUGCCCCCUUGUUGCCAAAUACUGUGAGCGGGCCAACCAAAAGCUUUAAACAUCCCCCCCUGGGGAAUACCCCGGGCAACGGUGAAAACUCAAAGGAAUGGACGGGGGCCCGCACAAGCGGAGGAACAUGUGGUUAAUUCGAUGAUACGCGAGGAACCUUACCCGGGCUUUGAAUUGCAGAGGAACAAUCCAGAGAUGGUGCGGCCCUUCGGGGCCUCUGUGAAGGUGCUGCAUGGUUGUCGUCAGCUCGUGCCGUGAGGUGUCGGCUUAAGUGCCAUAACGAGCGCAACCCCUGUUGCCAGUUGCCAUCCUUUAGUUGGGCACUCUGGCGAGACUGCCACCGUAAGGUGUGAGGAAGGUGGGGAUGACGUCAAAUCAGCACGGCCCUUACGUCCGGGGCUACACACGUGUUACAAUGGGUGAUACAGAGAGUCGUGCAUGCGCAAGUAUGUUCCAAUCUUUAAAGUCAUCCUCAGUUCGGACUGGGGUCUGCAACCCGACCCCACGAAGCUGGAUUCGCUAGUAAUCGCGCAUCAGCCAUGGCGCGGUGAAUACGUUCCCGGGCCUUGUACACACCGCCCGUCA